rnacentral:lncRNA from 10 species
AUUGAGGUUUUUCUGACUCCAGAUUCCAUGCCUUAAACUGACUUCCUGAAUGUAUCCACUGGGAUAAAUUUCUCAAAAUGGAAUUGGUAGAUCAGAUGAUAUAUGAGUUUAAAAUAUGGAUAGAUAGUUCCAACCGGUUUUUCAGGGCAUUGCCUGGUGUUUACCAUUCUUGUGUAUGUGCUUAUUUGCACCAGCAGUAUUUAUCUUUUAGUUUUGCUUUUAAAAACAAAUCUUGUAGGCCAGGUGCGGUGGCUCACGCCUGUAAUCCCAGCAUUUUGGGAGGCCGAGGUGGGAGGAUUGCCUGAGCCCAGGAGUUUGAAACUGGCUUGGGCAACAUAGCGAGGCCCAAUCUCCCAAAUAAAUAAAUGAUAUUUUUAAAAACAAAAUAACACAGAGCCCUUGGAAAUCAAAAAUCUAGCAGGAGGAAAAAACAUCUCUCGAGUUUAUCUUCAAUUAUUAGUGAAUUUAAGCAUGUUUUCUUGCUUCAAAGCUGAAUUUAUUUUUCAAGUAAAAUGGUAAUAGACAUAUGUGGUAUGACUACCUAGUUAUGAAGGUUAAAAGCAGAGGUACAUUGUUUAGUACCUAUUGCACGUAUACGUGGUAAAAAUGUUUGUGGUUUCCAAAAAAUUCAGGAGUGUGGUAACCUUGGGUGAGAGUGAAGGAACACAGGAGUUUCUGGGAACGGGCACUGUUCUCGAUGACUUUGGCAGUGGUUACCUGGUGUCUGCCUUGUAGUUAUUUGUGAUAGUUAAUGUCUUACAGACUUUUCUGUUAUGUUUCACAGUUUAACUAUUUUUUAAAAAUGAGUGAUGUCUUUGGCCAAAAACUUCAAAUUGAGUUACUUUUAUCUUCUAUUUUAAAAAGCUGGAGUCACAUUAAAAAAAAAAAAAGUCAGCCGUUAUAGCACAGCCAGGAACAUUGCAGUGGGGGCUGGGGGUUGCACACACAGUUUUAUCCGCCCCGUGGUCCUGACGUGCUUGUUGACACAGCCCUGCAGCAUUGCUGAGGGCUUACUCAGCAGGCCAGGACUAUUCUAACCACGUCACCUGAGUUAACUUGUUUAGCCUCACCAGUGACCCUAGGUAGGUAUGAUUAUUUAUUACCUUUUUUUUGUUUUGUUGGUUUUUUGAGACAGGAUCUUAGUCUGUCACCCAGGCUACAGUGCAGUGGCACCAUCACAGCUCACCGCCUCCAACUUCUGAGCUCAGGCAGUCCUCUCACCUCAACCUUCUGAGGAGCGGGACCAGAGGCUAAUUUUAAAAUAUUUUUGUAGAGACAAGGUCUCACUUGUUUCCCACGCUAGUAUUGAACUCCUGGACUCAAGCAGUCCUCCCACCUUGGCCUCCCACCGUGCUAAGAUUACAGGUGUGAGCCAGUGCACUUGGACUGUUUGUUACCUUUUUAAAGUUAAGAAGAUGGAUAUGAAGGAAGGUUGACAUAACUUGUCCAAGGUCUCACAGUUAGUGAGCAGCUGAGCAGAGACUCCCUGACCCAGGCAGUCUGGCCACAGGACACUCUCCCCACCGUGCUGUGCUGCUCUCCCUGGCCAGGGGUGUCAAGCUUGGGGACUGUGGGUCCCUGGGAGGUCCAUGGCUGAGGUUCAGAAGGUUUAUCACCCUGAAGUCAUGUGAAAAAUGUACACAUUUCUCUGCAGGGCGAGUCCCGCAUAUCCCCAGGUGUUCUGUUACCACCUGCAAAAGGUAGACACGCCCGCCCGACCCCCCACUUGCUGUGCUCUGUUAUAGUCCUCCUUGUCGCUGCACUCUGGGCCCCUAGAACUGGUGUCCCAGAAAGCCACCCUGCUUUAGGCCCCGCCGCAGCAGUGGGGCCCUCAAGCGGGUCUGAAGACGAGCAGGUGCACAGACCCCCAGCCGAGCCUCAUCUCCACGCAAGCACACGUGGGCUCUUCAUCCGGUUGCUUCUGUGGAGCAGUGUGGAUUGUUAACACUAGGAAUUAACUGUUGAAUAUGUGGUUUUUUCCUGUAACCAAAUUGCUGUAACUGUACACUAACCUUGUGUGAGAAAAGUUUGUAGUCCUGCUAAAAGCUCCUCUGUCUCUGCCUAUAUAAAUGAAACCCUAAUGUCCCUACUUCAGAACACUGACUCCAUUCCUUUGGAGUUGGUGUUUCCAGGUGGGCUAUACUCAAGCAUUACACAUGAAUAAACUCUCUUUAAGUUAAAU